GAGUGGGGGUAAAGAAGGCAGUGAGAGGUAUGCAACAGCAAAAAAAUUUGCCAGGGUCGGUAUCUGAUGGCAUGGUUUUUAAUUUACUAUGGCCAAUCCUCAAAGCUCAGCAACAUUAACCAUUUGGAAAAUAUCACAAAUUCUAAGAGCAUGACAAGCACCUUAACAAACAAGCAAGUUUGAGAAAAAUACAUCUCAACCCUUAUCCUAAAUUGGCAUGUUUGAAACUUGAAACAACCUGAAACAAUAUACCUGAAAUCAAUCUCUAUUACAGAUCGAAAGAAGG
rnacentral:lncRNA from 1 species